GGGUUGUGAGGUUAAGCGACUAAGCGUACACGGUGGAUGCCCUGGCAGUCAGAGGCGAUGAAGGACGUGCUAAUCUGCGAUAAGCGUCGGUAAGGUGAUAUGAACCGUUAUAACCGGCGAUUUCCGAAUGGGGAAACCCAGUGUGUUUCGACACACUAUCAUUAACUGAAUCCAUAGGUUAAUGAGGCGAACCGGGGGAACUGAAACAUCUAAGUACCCCGAGGAAAAGAAAUCAACCGAGAUUCCCCCAGUAGCGGCGAGCGAACGGGGAGCAGCCCAGAGCCUGAAUCAGUGUGUGUGUUAGUGGAAGCGUCUGGAAAGGCGCGCGAUACAGGGUGACAGCCCCGUACACAAAAAUGCACAUGCUGUGAGCUCGAUGAGUAGGGCGGGACACGUGGUAUCCUGUCUGAAUAUGGGGGGACCAUCCUCCAAGGCUAAAUACUCCUGACUGACCGAUAGUGAACCAGUACCGUGAGGGAAAGGCGAAAAGAACCCCGGCGAGGGGAGUGAAAAAGAACCUGAAACCGUGUACGUACAAGCAGUGGGAGCACGCUUAGGCGUGUGACUGCGUACCUUUUGUAUAAUGGGUCAGCGACUUAUAUUCUGUAGCAAGGUUAACCGAAUAGGGGAGCCGAAGGGAAACCGAGUCUUAACUGGGCGUUAAGUUGCAGGGUAUAGACCCGAAACCCGGUGAUCUAGCCAUGGGCAGGUUGAAGGUUGGGUAACACUAACUGGAGGACCGAACCGACUAAUGUUGAAAAAUUAGCGGAUGACUUGUGGCUGGGGGUGAAAGGCCAAUCAAACCGGGAGAUAGCUGGUUCUCCCCGAAAGCUAUUUAGGUAGCGCCUCGUGAAUUCAUCUCCGGGGGUAGAGCACUGUUUCGGCAAGGGGGUCAUCCCGACUUACCAACCCGAUGCAAACUGCGAAUACCGGAGAAUGUUAUCACGGGAGACACACGGCGGGUGCUAACGUCCGUCGUGAAGAGGGAAACAACCCAGACCGCCAGCUAAGGUCCCAAAGUCAUGGUUAAGUGGGAAACGAUGUGGGAAGGCCCAGACAGCCAGGAUGUUGGCUUAGAAGCAGCCAUCAUUUAAAGAAAGCGUAAUAGCUCACUGGUCGAGUCGGCCUGCGCGGAAGAUGUAACGGGGCUAAACCAUGCACCGAAGCUGCGGCAGCGACGCUGAUGCGUUGUUGGGUAGGGGAGCGUUCUGUAAGCCUGCGAAGGUGUGCUGUGAGGCAUGCUGGAGGUAUCAGAAGUGCGAAUGCUGACAUAAGUAACGAUAAAGCGGGUGAAAAGCCCGCUCGCCGGAAGACCAAGGGUUCCUGUCCAACGUUAAUCGGGGCAGGGUGAGUCGACCCCUAAGGCGAGGCCGAAAGGCGUAGUCGAUGGGAAACAGGUUAAUAUUCCUGUACUUGGUGUUACUGCGAAGGGGGGACGGAGAAGGCUAUGUUGGCCGGGCGACGGUUGUCCCGGUUUAAGCGUGUAGGCUGGUUUUCUAGGCAAAUCCGGAAAAUCAAGGCUGAGGCGUGAUGACGAGGCACUACGGUGCUGAAGCAACAAAUGCCCUGCUUCCAGGAAAAGCCUCUAAGCAUCAGGUAACAUCAAAUCGUACCCCAAACCGACACAGGUGGUCAGGUAGAGAAUACCAAGGCGCUUGAGAGAACUCGGGUGAAGGAACUAGGCAAAAUGGUGCCGUAACUUCGGGAGAAGGCACGCUGAUAUGUAGGUGAGGUCCCUCGCGGAUGGAGCUGAAAUCAGUCGAAGAUACCAGCUGGCUGCAACUGUUUAUUAAAAACACAGCACUGUGCAAACACGAAAGUGGACGUAUACGGUGUGACGCCUGCCCGGUGCCGGAAGGUUAAUUGAUGGGGUUAGCGCAAGCGAAGCUCUUGAUCGAAGCCCCGGUAAACGGCGGCCGUAACUAUAACGGUCCUAAGGUAGCGAAAUUCCUUGUCGGGUAAGUUCCGACCUGCACGAAUGGCGUAAUGAUGGCCAGGCUGUCUCCACCCGAGACUCAGUGAAAUUGAACUCGCUGUGAAGAUGCAGUGUACCCGCGGCAAGACGGAAAGACCCCGUGAACCUUUACUAUAGCUUGACACUGAACAUUGAGCCUUGAUGUGUAGGAUAGGUGGGAGGCUUAGAAGUGUGGACGCCAGUCUGCAUGGAGCCGACCUUGAAAUACCACCCUUUAAUGUUUGAUGUUCUAACGUUGACCCGUAAUCCGGGUUGCGGACAGUGUCUGGUGGGUAGUUUGACUGGGGCGGUCUCCUCCUAAAGAGUAACGGAGGAGCACGAAGGUUGGCUAAUCCUGGUCGGACAUCAGGAGGUUAGUGCAAUGGCAUAAGCCAGCUUGACUGCGAGCGUGACGGCGCGAGCAGGUGCGAAAGCAGGUCAUAGUGAUCCGGUGGUUCUGAAUGGAAGGGCCAUCGCUCAACGGAUAAAAGGUACUCCGGGGAUAACAGGCUGAUACCGCCCAAGAGUUCAUAUCGACGGCGGUGUUUGGCACCUCGAUGUCGGCUCAUCACAUCCUGGGGCUGAAGUAGGUCCCAAGGGUAUGGCUGUUCGCCAUUUAAAGUGGUACGCGAGCUGGGUUUAGAACGUCGUGAGACAGUUCGGUCCCUAUCUGCCGUGGGCGCUGGAGAACUGAGGGGGGCUGCUCCUAGUACGAGAGGACCGGAGUGGACGCAUCACUGGUGUUCGGGUUGUCAUGCCAAUGGCACUGCCCGGUAGCUAAAUGCGGAAGAGAUAAGUGCUGAAAGCAUCUAAGCACGAAACUUGCCCCGAGAUGAGUUCUCCCUGACCCUUUAAGGGUCCUGAAGGAACGUUGAAGACGACGACGUUGAUAGGCCGGGUGUGUAAGCGCAGCGAUGCGUUGAGCUAACCGGUACUAAUGAACCGUGAGGCUUAACCUUACAACGCCGAAGCUGUU
rnacentral:rRNA from 1 species